UGCGUAGGUGGUUUCUUAAGUCAGGAGUGAAAGGCUACGGCUCAACCGCAGUAAGCUCUUGAAACUGGGAAACUUGAGUGCAGGAGAGGAAAGUGGAAUUCCUAGUGUAGCGGUGAAAUGCGUAGAUAUUAGGAGGAACACCAGUAGCGAAGGCGGCUUUCUGGACUGUAACUGACACUGAGGCACGAAAGCGUGGGGAGCAAACA
rnacentral:rRNA from 1 species